rnacentral:tRNA from 1 species
UAAAUAAUUUUAAUAUUCUAAUUUCGACUUAGAACUUAUAGCUAAAGCUAUAUUA